rnacentral:sRNA from 1 species
AUUAAGAGACCUAGAUAAACAGGAGUUGCCAUGUUUUUAAAGGUUGCAGUUGGUUUUUCCUAAGUCUCAAGAUGUGAAGCUGAUUUAUACUAUAGAACUUUUUUUUUUUUGAGAUGAGGUCUUGCUCUGUUGCCUAGGCUGGAGUGUAGUUGCGCCAUCUCGGCUCACUGCAGCCUCUGCCUCCCAGGUUCAAGCCAUUCUUCCACCUCGGCCUCCUGAAUAGCUGGGAUUACAGGUGCACCACCAUGCCCGGCUAAUUUUUUGUAUUUUUAGUAGAGAUGGGGUUUCACCAUGUUGGCCAGGCUGGUCCUCAACUCCUGACCUCAGGAGAUGCACCCUUCUCAGCCUCCCAAAGUGCUGGGAUUAAGGUGUGAGCCACCACACCUGGCUGAAAGUUUUAAUCUUUCAGAAGCAGGUUAAUUCAGAAAGAUGAUCCUAAAAGUUUAAAAGCCAACUAGAAGUUGUUUGGAAAAUAUCUCUGAACGUAAUCUGGUUGAAGGGAAAGUAAAUCUGAAGUUGCCACUGCUAAAAGAAAACAAAGUAUAUUGAGUCAGUAGAUGGGCAGAAAGGCUCACAGCUUCUUGGAAAACAUUCAGCUCUGGUUCCUUUCUUCCACUACUCUUAAUUGGCUUACAUCUUUCUAAAUCUAGUCAACUAGGAUGUAAUUAUUAAGUUAAAAAUUAGAUUUAAGUUAGACUCUACUCAUUGUUUUCAGAAACCAAUGAAUGACCCACUGACUUUUAACCCAUAGCAGAUCAGACUCCAACAGAUGAGGACUCAUGAAGUCUCAAGAUGCUUAUAGCAUUUCUGAAAAUGUGAUCAGCCCAUUUGUAUUAAGCCAUUGUCUGCUAAUGUGUAAUUAAGCAUGUUUAUGUAUCAUUUUUGAGAAAUUAAUACUGGGGAAAAUAAUCAUUUUAGCUUUUGCUUAGCAUUGGAAUUAAAUUGUAAUCACCUGUAUAUUGUGUGUAGACGAUGGCAUCAUUCUUAGGUCAUUAACUCAUGAAAUACAACAUUUUCCAACUACUACUGUUUUUCCAAAUGUUUUUUAGGAUGCGACUCUGUACAAGUGUCACUGAAAGUGAGGUCACACGAGCCAGAAAUCUUCUGAAAACAAACAUGUUGUUGCAGCUUGAUGGUAAAAAUAAAGACAUAGGUUCUGUUUUCAUAUGGUUGAUCUAUAUUCCAAUACUUAAUUUUUCCUUCUCUUUAAACAGGCUCAACUCCAAUUUGUGAGGAUAUUGGUAGGCAAAUGUUAUGCUAUAAUAGAAGGAUUCCCAUCCCUGAGCUUGAAGCAAGAAUUGAUGCUGUGAAUGCUGAGACAAUUCGAGAAGUAUGUACCAAAUAUAUUUAUAAUAGGAGUCCAGCUAUUGCUGCUGUUGGUAAGCCUGGCUUCUUUUCUUCUGUGCAAAAAGUUCGCCAAGUACUUUUAAUUAACUGUCUUCUUUUUAAUCCUUAGGUCCCAUUGAGCAACUACCAGAUUUUAAACAGAUUUGCAGUAACAUGUGUUGGCUUCGUGAUUAAAAUGCUCCUAAUCAAGAUUGUUUGAACACAUGUAUUUAUAAAACAGAUCUAGAAAAAAAUAAAAAUGAACAUGUAUAUAU